rnacentral:rRNA from 1 species
AUUGAACGCUAACGGCGUGCUUAACACAUGCAAGUCGAACGGCAGCACAGUAUGUAGCAAUACAUAUGGGUGGCGAGUGGCGGACGGGUGAGUAAUACGUAGGGAUCUACCUUGUAGUGGGGGAUAACCCGGGGAAACUCGGGCUAAUACCGCAUAAUCUUUACGAAGCAAAGAGGGCCUCUGUAUAUGCUCUUGCUAAAAGAUGAGCCUACGUCGGAUUAGCUAGUUGGUGGGGUAAAGGCCUACCAAGGCGACGAUCCGUAGCUGGUCUGAGAGGAUGAUCAGCCACACUGGGACUGAGACACGGCCCAGACUCCUACGGGAGGCAGCAGUGGGGAAUAUUGGACAAUGGGCGAAAGCCUGAUCCAGCAACGCCGUGUGUGUGAAGAAGGCCUUAGGGUUGUAAAGCACUUUCAGUGGGGAAGAAAAGUUCAAGGCUAAUACCCUUGAAUCUUGACGUUACCCACAGAAGAAGCACUGGCUAACUCUGUGCCAGCCGCCGCAGUAA